rnacentral:lncRNA from 7 species
CCUGGAGUAAUAAGUGCCCUCAUUGAAGAGCAGCUGGUGGGAGGUGUGCCUGGUGGUGGUGUGAGCAUGGCAGCUGAGUUAAAAUGUGGCUGUAACUAUACUGAGUUGUUAGAGCACUAGAAACCUAUGUAACUGUAGGGAAGUGGAGAUCUAAAGGAGAGAUGCCUGUUCUGGUGAGCUUCUGUCUUCCAGUUGUCCUUGGGUCUUUGCACUGUUGCAGUCUUGCUCAAAAGCAGGAAAAUGGAAAAUGAUGAGACAGCCAGCCCCGGGUGCUUUCAAAGUAAUUAUCAAGUUGAAUCUGGGAAUAACCUUGGAGGGAACGGCAAAGCCACCAAAGAAAGACAGCAGAGGAAUGUGACGAUGAACUCUGGGAAGAAAACGCAGUGCCACGAAGAGAGGGAACACUUGGGCACCUGUUGUGACAGCUGUGACUGAGCACACAAUGACCAGAUCAGAGUGAAUAAUGAGAGAAUCUGCUCAUUUAAGAGUGUAUACACAAACUCAGCAGGGACGUGAAACUGUUUUGCUUUGUUUUACUGAUAAUGUGUUAUUGGAGUCAUGUCUCUGGCUGUGUCCUAGAGUAGGUUCAAAAUGAUUACUUAUAUAACACAGGAUAUAUUUAAGUCUGGGAGGAGCAGUAGGGGUGAAACGCAUGUAUCUCAAUUUCUGGUUUAGAAGCAAAAUGAAAUUAUGUUUUUCUGAAUGAAUUUAUUGAUUUCCAUUUAACUAACACAGGAAUAUCCGUCUCAAGGUCUAGGUUGCCCUUGGAAAAUCUGAUCUGUGAAGUAAUUGCUGAGUCAGAUUAAACUAUUAACAUCU